rnacentral:rRNA from 1 species
UCAAUAAGCGGAGGAAAAGAAACUAACAAGGAUUCCCUUAGUAACGGCGAGUGAAGAGGGAUGAGCUCAAAUUUGUAAUCUGACGUGUCGCAAGGCCGUCCGAGUUGUAGUCUAGAGAAGCGUCUUCCGUGCCGGACCGCAUACAAGUUCUCUGGAAAGGGACAUCGUAGAGGGUGAGAAUCCCGUGUCGCGAUGCGGAUCGCCGGUGCUAUGUGAUGCGCUCUCGAAGAGUCGAGUUGUUUGGGAAUGCAGCUCAAAGUGGGUGGUAAACUCCAUCUAAAGCUAAAUACGGGCGAAAGACCGAUAGCGAACAAGUACCGUGAGGGAAAGAUGAAAAGCACUUUGGAAAGAGAGUUAAAUCAGUACGUGAAAUCGUUGAAAGGGAAACGCUUGGACUCAUGUCACGUCCACCGCGAAUUCAACUUCCGUCUUUGCGGACGGAGGUGCACUUUCCGGUGGACGGGUCAGCAUCGAUUUCGAAAGUCGGACGGGGUCCCAUGGGAACGUGACACUCCCUCACGGGAGGUGUGUUAUCAGCCCGGGGACUUAGCGACGGUUGGGAUCGAGGAAUGCAGCGCGCCCUUCACGGGGCUGGGGUUAUAACCACGUAACGCGCUUAGGAUGCUGGCGCAACGGCUUCA